rnacentral:rRNA from 1 species
GACGAACGCUGGCGGCGUGCUUAACACAUGCAAGUCGAACGGAAAGGCCCUUCGGGGUACUCGAGUGGCGAACGGGUGAGUAACACGUGGGUGAUCUGCCCUGCACUUUGGGAUAAGCCUGGGAAUCUGGGUCUAAUACCGAAUAGGACCACGCGCUUCAUGGUGUGUGGUGGAAAGCUUUUGCGGUGUGGGAUGGGCCCGCGGCCUAUCAGCUUGUUGGUGGGGUAAUGGCCUACCAAGGCGACGACGGGUAGCCGGCCUGAGAGGGUGACCGGCCACACUGGGACUGAGAUACGGCCCAGACUCCUACGGGAGGCAGCAGUGGGGAAUAUUGCACAAUGGGCGCAAGCCUGAUGCAGCGACGCCGCGUGAGGGAUGACGGCCUUCGGGUUGUAAACCUCUUUCAAUAGGGACGAAGCGCAAGUGACGGUACCUAUAGAAGAAGCACCGGCCAACUACGUG